rnacentral:rRNA from 1 species
CCCUUAGACGUUCUGGGCCGCACGCGUGCUACACUGACCAGUGCAACAAGCAUCCGUCCUUGGCCGACAGGCCCGGGCAAUCUUUGAACGCUGGUCGUGAUGGGGAUAGACUUUUGCAAUUUUUGGUCUUCAACGAGGAAUUCCUAGUAAACGCAAGUCAUCAACUUGCAUUGAUUACGUCCCUGCCCUUUGUACACACCGCCCGUCGCACCUACCGAUUGAAUGGUCCGGUGAAGCCUCCGGAUUGGCGCGCACCUCGGUGCCGCCGAGAAGUUGGCUAAACCUUACCAUUUAGAGGAAGGUGAAGUCGUAACA